rnacentral:ncRNA from 1 species
UCGCCACUUCGGGGGAGCCGCAAUCGGGCGGCUGAGAGGUCCGGGAAACCGGACGACCCCACGAACCUGAUCCGGAUCACGCCGGCGGAGGGAGCAAGGAGGCAGCGAUGC